rnacentral:lncRNA from 1 species
GAGGUGUGUGGCGUUGGGGAGGAAAACGGAAGAGGAGAAGAAGAGAAGGAGAAGAAGAGGGAAAAGAGAGGGAAGAGGGAGAGGAGCGAGAGGUGGCAGCAGCUAGGGCUGCAGCACCUCUGUUUCCUGCAGGUGGAAACAGAGGAGAGGUGUGGGGCGUUCGAAGAGGAGAAGAAGAAGAAGAGGAAGCAGGAGAAGAGGUUGUGAUACCUCUUUUUCCUGCAGAGGAAACAUAGGAGAGGGUGUGUGUGACGCUGGGGAGGAGGAGGGAAGAAGAAGAGGAGAAGAAGAAGAGAAGGGAAAGGA